rnacentral:rRNA from 1 species
CGCAAGCCUGACGGAGCAACGCCGCGUGAGGGAGGAAGGCCUGUGGGUCGUAAACCUCUUUUCUCAAGGAAGAAGUUCUGACGGUACUUGAGGAAUCAGCAUCGGCUAACUCCGUGCCAGCAGCCGCGGUAAGACGGAGGAUGCAAGCGUUAUCCGGAAUUAUUGGGCGUAAAGCGUCCGCAGGUGGCGAUUCAAGUCUGCUGUCAAAGCACGGGGCUUAACUCCGUAAAGGCAGUGGAAACUGAAUAGCUAGAGUGCCGUAGGGGUAGAGGGAAUUCCCGGUGUAGCGGUGAAAUGCGUAGAGAUCGGGAAGAACAUCGGUGGCGAAAGCGCUCUACUGGACGGCAACUGACACUCAGGGACGAAAGCUAGGGGAGCG